rnacentral:rRNA from 1 species
UNUGACUUGAGUGCAGAAGGGGAGAGUGGAAUUCCAUGUGUAGCGGUGAAAUGCGUAGAUAUAUGGAGGAACACCAGUGGCGAAAGCGGCUCUCUGGUCUGUCACUGACGCUGAGGCUCGAAAGCGUGGGUAGCGAACAGGAUUAGAUACCCUGGUAGUNCACGCCGUAAACGAUGAGUGCUAGGUGUUAGGCCCUUUCCGGGGCUUAGUGCCGGAGCUAACGCAAUAAGCACUCCGCCUGGGGAGUACGACCGCAAGGUUGAAACUCAAAGGAAUUGACGGGGGCCCGCACAAGCGGUGGAGCAUGUGGUUUAAUUCGAAGCAACGCGAAGAACCUUACCAGGUCUUGACAUCCCGAUGCUAUUCUUAGAGAUAGGAAGUUACUUCGGUACAUCGGAGACAGGUGGUGCAUGGUUGUCGUCAGCUCGUGUCGUGAGAUGUUGGGUUAAGUCCCGCAACGAGCGCAACCCUUAUUGUUAGUUGCCAUCAUUAAGUUGGGCACUCUAGCGAGACUGCCGGUAAUAAACCGGAGGAAGGUGGGGAUGACGUCAAAUCAUCAUGCCCCUUAUGACCUGGGCUACACACGUGCUACAAUGGUCGGUACAACGAGUUGCGAGCCGGUGACGGCAAGCUAAUCUCUGAAAGCCGAUCUCAGUUCGGAUUGGAGGCUGCAACUCGCCUCCAUGAAGUCGGAAUCGCUAGUAAUCGCGGAUCAGCACGCCGCGGUGAAUACGUUCCCGGGCCUUGUACACACCGCCCGUCACACCACGAGAGUUUGUAACACCCGAAGUCGGUGAGGUANCCUUUUAGGGGCCG